GAAGUUGGAGUCGCUAGUAAUCGCAGAUCAGCAACGCUGCGGUGAAUACGUUCCCGGGCCUUGUACACACCGCCCGUCACGUCAUGAAAGUCGGUAACACCCGAAGCCGGUGGCCUAACCCCUUGUGGGAGGGAGCCGUCGAAGGUGGGAUCGGCGAUUGGGACGAAGUCGUAACGAGGUAGCCGUACCGGAAGGUGCGGCUGGAUCACCUCCUUU
rnacentral:rRNA from 1 species